rnacentral:rRNA from 1 species
GACGAACGCUGGCGGCGUGCUUAACACAUGCAAGUGGAGCGACGAACCGGGCUUCGGCCCGGGGCAGAGCCGCGAACGGGUGAGUAACACGUGGGUUACCUGCCCCGAUGACUGGGACAACCCGGGGAAACCCGGGCUAAUACCGGAUGUGCCCUUCGGGGGAAAGGAAGCUUCGGCCUCCGCAUCGGGAUGGGCCCGCGGCCCAUUAGCUUGUUGGUGGGGUAAGGGCCCACCAAGGCUGCGAUGGGUAGCUGGUCUGAGAGGACGAUCAGCCACACUGGGACUGAGACACGGCCCAGACUCCUACGGGAGGCAGCAGUGGGGAAUCUUGCGCAAUGCGCGAAAGCGUGACGCAGCAACGCCGCGUGGGGGAAGACGGCCUUCGGGUUGUAAACCCCUUUCAGUUGGGACGAAGCUCCGCCGGUGAACAGCCGGCCGGAGUGACGGUACCUUCAGAAGAAGCCCCGGCUAACUACGUGCCAGCAGCCGCCGUAAGAC